rnacentral:lncRNA from 1 species
GUUUCUGGGAUAGAAUUCCAUAUGCUCGGAAAAUUUGUCCGUCGGUAAUAAAAGGCACCUUAUAUGGUUUGGGCAAUUAGGUUCCAAUUAAACAUUAGAUAGCCCGCAUGUUUCCGUGGAGAUCCAACAAGGAAAAAUUUGAUGAAAGAAAUCCGAGUAACUAGUUGUCUUGCAUAUUUACAAAGUUCAAAUCCUUUGGUUGUUGUGCUUUGACUCGAUUGUCUAUUAUGCUGUUUCAUUUACUUGCACAUUGCCCACUUGUUCAUUUAACACACAUCACCCACUUGGUGAUUUGGCAGUUGUGGGCAGACAGUCAUAUAGAUUUAUUUUUUUUGAGAUCUCGUCAUAUAGAAUUGUAAUAGCACUGACAUGGAAAAAGUUAAAAACUGAAAAAAGUAAAUCAAACAAACAAAUGGUGCGCAAACUAAAUCAAACGGCACAAGACAAGUGAGAUUUAGUCAGGACUCUUUCAGAUGAAGAUAAGUAAAUUGCAAGAAAACAACAUGCAGAAACAUUUUUAUAUCGUAGCAUAACAUGCAAAAAAGCACAUAUAUAGUACAACGACAACCCACGUGUCUAUAUGCUAUCUAUAUGUAUAUCUAUCUAUCUAUAUCUAUCUAUCUAUCUAUCUAUAUAUCUAUCUAUUUAUACCUACUAAUAAAAGACGGAGCAUUUAUGCCCAUCCGUCUCAUAUUUUGCAACAAAAUACCCUACAUUUUUCUUUAAUUAACCCGCGGUCAAGGUUUAGGUGAGGUUCGUCCGUUGUGCUUUUGCAAAGAACGAGGAAACGGUUGCGUUUUGUAAGAUUCAAACUCAUGAUGUCGCCUCCAUGCCCAAAAGCCACAGCCAACUGAGUUAGCAUGCACUUGUGCUACUAAAUAGGUCCAUUAUUUCAUUAAAUUGUCCAACUUUGAUACUUUGCAUGAGAAUACGCAAAUUUAUAUGUGAUUGCAAAUUGCCUAGAAAUCAACAAGCCAACUCGAUAACCAAGAAAUAGAGGGAGAGGAGGAAUUCACUCAAUAAAUAGUGUUAACUAGCAGGGUUUCCCGCGCAUUUGUGCGGCUAUAUUGACCCUUUCCGAUGCCAACUAUAUGGCCUUUCACUAAACUAUAUUUCGAUUAAAUUUACACCCUGUAUAUGUCAUCAUAGAAAAAAUGAAAAUCGUAAUGAAACAUGCAAGUGCAUUAGGUUGUUCAUUUUAAUAUAGAAGUGCAUUAGGUUUUUAAAUAAAUUCCUUGGCAUGUCAGGUUGCAACACCGAUAAAAAACCAUGUAUGGGAUUUCAUGCCAAUCUUGGUGUUUUUCCUCUUUGAUCACUCCUCCUUUGUAUCAUUUAAUAGGUUUUCGAGAAAUUCCCUACCAAGACAUAAAUCUAAACAUGAAAUUCCGGUAUGUAAAGGUCCCUUUUUCUAGUCAUAUCAAUCAACGGACGCAUUCUUAACUACCUUUUCUUGAUUAUUGCUGCCUACCCACUUAUGUAUCAAGAGAUUCACAUCUUCUAUCGUGCUUAUUUUUUCUAUUGAUAAUAUUUUACAAAAUAUUAUCUUUGACUCCCUCCCUUUUAAUUUCUGAAGACUUUGAAAGUGAAGAAAUUGGUGUGACCUUGAAGACUUGGUAUUCAUUCGAGGAACAUGAAGCGUGAAGACUUUUGUUUUUGUAGUUUCAUUUUCUCUUUCUUGAGUCAUAGGAAACAUCGUACUGUUAAGGGGGUCGAGGAAAUACUAAGGAAAAAUUUCCAAGUGAUGCUCAACUCAAAAUCCUACACCUACCAAUCCCUUCGAGUGAAGCCAUUGGAAAUCUCAUGCAGUUCAAUCAAUUUCUUCAGUGACAGAGACGAAGUACUUCUGGUCUCUGAGAAAUUUGUUCUGACUGAGAAGUUAGGAAUUCGCCAGUGCGGAUUACCUACAAGUGAGGAACAUGAUAGCCCUGAGGAAUUAGACACUCAAAAUUCCGACCGUUGCUGUGCUAUGCGCCAGCUGUCCCAAAAUAUCUUACCCACCUAACGGUCAUAUCAUUGAAGGGCAUUUAUGUCUUAUCAUGUAGGGCUGCUCCCUAGGCUAUAAAUAGCCGCCCCCUACAACCACUAGCUGGUUGGCUGCUCCGAGAGAAACUGACACUUGUCAUUUGAGAGCAUCCCAUCCUCCGAGGACUUUGAGCGAAAAUCAUCAAGUGAGGAAAACCCAAACCCAAACACCUAAAAACCCAAAGUGAUUGAGCAUCACCGAAGAGAUUGAUCCUGCGUGGAUCCGACGCUUGUUACCUUUAAAGACUGUGCAUCUUCCAGACGGUUAGGCGUCAUGGUCUAGAGCAUCCAAGAGGAAAUUGUGGAUCGCCGAGUGACAGAGUUUGUGAAGGUUUGGAAGUCACCUGAAGACUUACCACGAGUGAUUGGGCGAGGUCUGUGUGACCUUAGCUCAAGGAGAAUACGGUGAGGACUGUGUGUCCUCAGGUUUAAAUACCUAGCUGCUCCAACCAGACGUACAACCACUACAAGAAAUAUGUCAACUUGCGACCACCACUAUUGGUCACUGAAAGGUCAUUGUUUUUUAUUUGCGGCCUUUUUUUGACCAAAAACAGAAGGUCAAAAGCUGGCGGUCGUAAACUAAAAUUAACGACAUAUGUAAAAGGUCGUUGGUUCUUCGACCGAAAUUUUGGUCACUAGCAGCCUUCCCAAGCCACGUAAGAUCCAGCGUGGCAAGCUGACAUGGAUAAGAUUCAACCCAGUCCGAUUAGGUGUCUAUAUGGGCCAAGCCCAUUAAUUCAGCCCAUUUAUAUUUUUUUUCUGCUAAUUUUUGGUCGACUUCAUAGGCCAAGCCCAACAAUUCAGCCUUCUAAUUUUCUGGGCCAUGGCCCUUUUGCAGACCAUUUCUUUAAGCAUUUUUGUUCAAGUUUUCCAGAAAUAAAUAAUGUGUCAGUCCACUAUUAUUUGGGCCAUAGCCUUUUUAGAGCCCAUAUAUUAUUUGGUCCAAUAGAACAUUUGGUCUUUUUAUCCACUGAUUUCCAGUUUACACAUUUGGAUAGCAAACACUCAAUAAUUCUCUUGAUUAAAUGAUUAAAUUCAGAAAUCAUUCAGCCAAAUACGCACAACAGCACAUACAAGUCCGCACGUCCAACAUCAACUAAAACAAGCAAAAAUAGAUACACAUGCACGAUACACAAGCGCAUACAAGUGUGCUUACAAGCAAAAACAGAUACACAAGCACCAAAACAUGGUGCAACAUCAACUAAAACUGUGGUGCGCAUCUCCAUGCCUCUUGAUCUUCCGUCACAGCAGCAGCAGCAGCCUAAACAACAUUAGAUCCUGAUCCAGAUCACCAAAAAGAAACAUUAUUAAAUGUUUAGAGACAAUGCCAUCAACAUGAGGCGGUAAUCCAACUUAACACUUUGUCAACAUAUUUUACAUAUGCAAAUAACUAAGAUUAUACUGUAUAAGUUUAAGAUCCAAAUGCAAUAUGAAACUGAAUUGCCAAAUAGUAGCAUGUUUAGACAACUUAACAACAUUAUUAAUACUACUUCAGAUUUGGGCUAGUAGAAGGCCAGGCAGAAUUCAUGAGAACUUUAUUGAAUUCAUUCAAUAGAGGAUAGCACAAACAAAAAACACACUGUCAAAAUGAAUCAUGACUGGAAUUGUAGAUGUUCUGUCGGUUAUACUAUAUUAAACUGAGCCAAUUAUUGUAGGUGAAAGUAAUGCUCCUAGUAUAUCAUCAUCAUUAACAUCAAACAAUUCUGAAUGUAAUCAGAGGAAGCACAGCCCGAUCAUGUGCAAUCAACUCAUAAUAAAAGGGUACAGAUGAUUAUUAGUGUUACUAUUAACUUGAUGGUGGCAUCUUAUAUACAAAAACAUGUAUUCCAAAAAAACAAUCAAUAGGGCCGCUGGAAGGGGAGCCCCGGCUCUAGCAAAAGGUCUUAAUGCUUUAGAGAAAAACAGAUUUAGACAAAUAGGAUUUAGUCAAUAGAACCCCAGAAACCCAUAAAAUCACUUCACAUCCUGAUUCAGCGUUUUGUGUUGAAAUAUUGGCCAUCACAAGUAAUUUUGUGCAAGUCUCAAAACAAGGCAAUAAUGAUAUAAUUACUGAAGCCGCUGAUAUGGUUAGAUUAUUUGCAAGUGACUUCAAACAGAACAUAUGGCAUGCCUUAGUCAUGCCCUAAGGCUAAACAGAACAUAUUUAAGCACCUCCAUGAAUACAGCCAAGUCUCUUAACAUGCUUCUACUACAGAAAUCAUAACAACAGCAGGGUCAAGUUGAGUUAGCUGCAGACCUAGUUGAGUUGUCCCCUUCGCUUGGAGAGGACGACGAUCUCGUCGUUGCCCACGUCCCCCGCCAGCGGCCGACUGCUUCUCCACGGUCUGGAGGGUCAGGCAGAAAUCAUACUGCCAUAGUGUGCCCCUGGUUAACCCGAAUCAGCAGCUCUCCAUCCUACUCCAACAGACUGAACCUCUGCUUGCUAUCUCACCUGACUGCCUACACGCAAGAAGGCAAAAAAAAAACAUUCACUCAAAGCAUCUUACAAUUCACAACAAAUUCGAGAUUGACCCAAUUAAUAAUACAGCAUAUAGAGAUUUCAUAAUCAAAGUUCAUGCUGCUAGGCUGCUAGCUAUCAAGAUGAAAACAACAUGUAGCAGAUACAAGCAUACCAGGAAAGGUGGGCUAGGUGUUUAGUAAGAUCGUCUACUGUUCAGCAGGAAGAUGGGUCAUGACCAAAUAUUACCUCCCUGAUUUCAUCCACCGUGUGGGACUUGAGGGGAACCUUGGCAAAGGUCUGCAGGCUGAGGCCGAGCAGGUCGAGGACCCGCACGUAGUCGUCGCUCUUCAUGCCCAGGCUCAGCUCCGACGCCAUGUGCCGCAAGACCAUCGCCCUGAGAAGAGAAGCACAGACAGAAGGCAGCCGUGAGUGGGUGCCAAGGGAAAAAACAUAAGCCACAACCGAGAAUUGCAAGAUUUAGUAUAAAGGAAAUAGGAUUUCAUAGAUCACCUAACAUGGGUUGCAUUGAAAUCCAAAUGAGUCAACAAAAAUUGACUCCCAUCAACGGCGGGUAUGCGGUAGCAGCUGUUGUCAUGGCAACCAGAAACUCAGAAAUGAUAUUGGCGGCAAACCCAUUACAUGUACCAGACGCCACCCACCUAUCAAAAUUGAUAAACACUUCAGUUGUGUCCGAUCCUAUUGCAGGGCUCGGAAAUGACAAUGCCACAACCCUUUGCAUGUACCAGACCCCAUAAACCUGUCCAAAUUGCUAUAUGCACGACCCGUUACAGUCCACAGUUACAGGAUAUGAUAUGCUCAGAAAUGAACAAAUGCCAAAACCCUUUUACUUGUACCAGACCCCAACCACAUGUAGCUAGCAAAUUAAUCACUUCACGCGUCUGAUCCUCUCAAAUGCUAGACUUGAAGAACAUCAACAAGGCCAACUAAAAUCGGACCCUCCCAAUCAUGGAUUUGGCUCCCAGGUAAGUAAUAAAUCACGCAUCUGAUCAGGUAAAGAGGAAUCAAGAAUAGGAGAAGGUUACCAAUCCCAGCUCUCGGAGGUGUUCUCCACCAGGUUGGGUUGGGUUGUGCGCAGACGUCGUAGAUGAUCGGCUUCUCGAACCACCAGAUGACGAUUUGGGUCCCCUCGGUGUACACCUGCAUGGAGCAAACGCCCAAGGGCGACCAGAAAUCAACCGCAGACCAAACGCGCAGAGAACAACAGGGAGCAAGGGACCAACCGCGGACCAAGCCGCCGUGGCCGCAGAUCCUGGGUGGUCGCUCGCGGAUCCGUCGGCGUCGAAGAUGGAAGGCUGGUCUUGGUGUUUGUCGUGGAAUUGUCACGGCAGAUGUCCUUAGCGUGAGGACUUAGUCGUGAGGCCAGCGCAUCUAUGUAGUAGGUUGAGAGGGGUUGAUUGGGAUGAGAGACGCAGGGCGGAUCAACGCACAAGACAAGGGUUUAGACAGCUUCGGGCCCCGGGAAAUAUCAUCCGGUAAUAGCCCUACAUGCUGUUUGUGGCUAGGUCUCAUUAUACUCAUAAGAGAAUCGCCGGUAAGCCGGCUCUUUGUGUCUAACCCUAGAUAUUGUUUCUUGUUGCUUGUCCCUCUUUGGGGUGCCCUGCCCCUCCUUAUAUAAGUUAGAGGGGCGGGUUACAUGUGGAGUCCUAGUAGGACUAGGACUAGUCUAUCUUCUCUUACAAGUUAAUUACAAGUCCGGGUCUUGCUUCCUCGUAAAGGAAGUAUUCGUCAUCCCUUUCUUCUUAAGCCGGCCCAUCAUAUACGUGAGCCGGCCUUCUGGGCCUUGGGCCUUGUUGUCCAUCUGACCCGCCCGCCGGGUUACUAAUGAGUCGCCAAGAUCGGGCAGGUUAUCUGUGAAUCGCCAAGCUCCGGGCGGGUCACCAGUGAGUCGCCAAUUCCGGCCGGGUCAUACCGCGGGGUAUAUCCCCGACAGUGUUGGCUGAUGAAGACGUCGGGGUCCUUCUUCUCCUCCAACUCCGUCCGUCAGGUACCCAUCCCAUCAGCGCCGCUCCGCUCCGACCGCGAACCCUAACCCUAACAGAGAAGGAUGAGGGAGCUUGUGUGCGGCCAGACACGGAGAUGGAGGCGGACGACGUAGGUAGGGAAGGAAGGAAGGGGAGGGGAGGUUGGCGCACGGCGGCGACAGGCGAGGUCGGUGGUGGCGGCGGGGAGGGGAUGGGGAGGGAGGUAGCGGCGGGGAGGGGAUGGGAAGGGGAGGAAGCGACGAGUGGUUGGGCAGGGUUCGCGAGGACGAGGAGUGGGUGCAGUGGGUUUUUUUCUCCUUUCUUCAGAUGGAUGGAUGGAUGGACGUGGGAUUGCUAGCAAUGGAUGGUAGGAUGUCUGCCAUGUCAUCGAUCCGUGUCAUACAUGGUUCCACCAAUCAAAAUCCAGCUUAUGUAAUUGUGUUUCUUUCUUUUGUCUCCUUUAUAUUUUUUAACCUCUUAUUUGGGGUAAACACUCAACAUAUUAGCCUCAUGUUGUAUGUUUAAAUGACCCAAUAUUGUGCACAUAUGUGUAUCUUAGGAUUUCAAACAAUGAUGAUUUUGUGGUCUUCAUUUGCAUUGCACACAAAAAGAAUUCAUUUUUCGAGUGCCCCAAAUGACUUUUUUUGUGAAGAACCUACCAAAUAAUUGUUGCACAAUUGGACCAACUCAUUUUUCUAAAAUACUAGGACAUAUUUAAUUCACAAUUGACCAAAUGGUUGGGUAUAAAAAGUUUUGAUCCACCUCUGGUGAAAAAGACAAAUUUCCGCUGAUUCAGUUGGAAGCGGGUCAAAUUUGAACUGCGGCUGCCUCAUAGUUUGCUAUUUAUUUUUCUCAAAAAUCAUUUCUAGGUACAAAAGUAUCUAUUUAAUCAGAGAAACACCAAAAAAAUUCCAAGAUUCAACCACUAGCUAGGAACGGUCAUUCCCGCCGUUUUGACCGCAUUUUGAAACAGGCAUAAAAAUUUCAAAACAAAUCAAAAAAAUUGUAAAACCUUCGCAUUGUGCCAUUAUAUGUGACCAAGUUACCAGGAAAAAUAAUAAACUUGUAAUACGGCAAUUCUUUUAAAAAAGUGUUCUCAGAAAUGAGCUAUCAUGUGUGAAGAUUCAUGGCUUUCAAGUCAAAUGAUCAAUCUUAUGGCCAAAUUCAUGGCCUAGUUUGUUCAGAUGGUCUCAUAUUGUGCACAAGGGUGCAUCUUGGAAUUCCAAACAAUGUUGCCUAAGUGAGUUUUCAUUUUCUUUGCACGGAAAAUUCAUUUUCCAUUUUUCGAGUGCCCCAAAUGAGGUUUUUUUUAAGGAACUACCAAAUAAAUGUUGUAAAAUUGGACCAAAUCAAUUUUAUAAAAUACUAGGACAUGUUUAAUGCACAAUUGACAAAAUGGUUGGGUGUAAAAGGUUUUUAUCCACCUUUGGUGAAAAAGACAAAUUUCCGCGAUUCAGUAGGAAGCGUGUCAAACUUGAACUGCAACUGCCUUAUAGUUUGCUCUUUAUUUUUUCCAAAAAUCAUUUCUAGGUACAUAAGUAUCUAUUUAAGCAUAAAUACAUGGUUUGGUGGUGAUACGUUGAGGUUUGGACGGUGGCCCACGGCCCCAACUCCAAAGCGCGUAGACUCACAUGCCCGCCGCGUGGUCAUCGCGUGACCGUGGCGUUGCCAUGCGUUCUGGGAAGCCUAGGCAUGCCUAGUAGGUUUGGCAAUCCCAAGGUAGAUGCUUGGAAGAAAAUAACAACAGAAGAAUCUCACGAGGAGACCGAACAAUGCUCAAACAUGAAUUAGCACCCAAGUGUUUGAUUAGUGGUACGGGAAAUUCACAUGGCCAAUGGGCCUGAGUUUUGGCCGAGGAUGAUCAUCUACUAAGGACACUAUCUUGGAAAAUUUGCAGCUCAAAUGGAGGAGCCUAGGUGUCACUCGCUUUGCAACGUACCACACUGAACAGAAAUAUGAAUGUUGAAGCCACACUCACAUGUAUUGUUAGAUGGGGCUCAAAUUUUGUGGAGAGCUAUGAUUUGGGAAUAUAGAAGAUGUGGCAAAAAUUCAGCUCAUUAGGAUAUGCCUAGCUAGUACUUCCUUCACAACAGUUCGAGUUGAACAAAAACUUUGGAAAUUUGCCGAGGAAGAUUUACCAGGCAAAUGGAGUUGAAUAUUGUCAUGAGGCAAUGAUUUGGAUAGUAAAGAAUGCCCAAUUUUUUUUGGGAAUUUUGGGAAUGACAGAAAUAUAGGUUGCUUCACAACCUAGGGCAAAAAUUGACACAUGGACAUGACACAUAAGCAAAACUGAUGAGGUAGCGCCUAGUCAUAGCAAUAAGUACCAAUGCAUCCACGUUCACAACCUCAUGACCAUUUAUAUUGGUCGUAAUAAGGUAGAAAUAAGGUCAUUGGCCACUCUUGUCUGCUUUGUGACCAUUUGGUGUAAGCAAUUUCAGGGUUUGAGCCCUUCCAAGUGAAAUGGCCGUGGAUUUAUGACCAAUUCAGCUGGGGUCACUAAGAGAAGGUCACAAGUUGACAUAUUUCUUAUAGUGAACUGUCACAGCAGUUGGAACUGGUCUACCAAAUCAUUGUCUUCACCAAGCCUACUGGUUCUAUUUCCUCGACUCUUUCAUUUCCUCAUUACUGUGGUGUGUGCUUGUUCAUAUAUGUUUGAAGACUUUGACUCAAGACUUUCUCAAUUUCCUCAGUUCAAUUUCUUCAGUCUAUUUUGUCUUCAUCCUAUUUUAUCCUGUGCUUACGCUUCCUGUACUCCGUGUCUGUUUUCAUUUCAGCAUGAUGACCAUGUUUAUGUUAUGUCAUGUAUGCAUCUGAGUACUUAUUCCGCUGCAAGUAGUUCUUCGCUAAGGAAUUUCCUCACCCUGAAAUUCAUCAGUGAAGAAUUCAUAAAAAUCGCCUAUUCACCCCCCUCUAGUCGAUUUAACGCACUUUCAUCGUCACAUUAGCAACGCCAGACGCUGAGACGAGCACGUGACACCAAGCCCACCUUGUCUAUCUUACGGUAACGCGAGUCGAGGCGGACGUCGACGCGGUAGCGACGACGGACGCCGAGAUGAGUACGUGACACCACUGCCACCCUGUCUAUCUUAGGGCAACGCGAUUCGACGCGGACGUUGUCGCGGUAGCGAUGAAGGAUGCCGAGACGAGCACGUGACACCACUGCCCCUGUCUAUCUUAGGGUAACGCGAGUCGAGGCGGACGUCAUCGCGGUAGCGGCGACGGACGCCGAGACGAGCAUGUGACACCACUGCCACCCUGUCUAUCUUAGGGUAAUCCGACUCGAGGGGGAUGUCAUUGUGGUAGCGACGACGGACGCCGAGAUGAGCAUGUGACACCACUGUCACCCUGUGUAUCUUAAGGUAACGCGGGUCGAGGCGGACAUCGUCGCGCUAGCGACAACGCACGCCGAGACGAGCACGUGACACCACUGCCACCCUGUCUUAUGGUAACGCAAGAGUCGAGGUGGACGUCGUCGCGGUAGCGACGACGGAUGCUGAGACGAGGACGUGACGCUAGGGCCCCCCUGUCCCCGUCGCGGUAGCGACGAUGGACGAUGAGACGAGUACGUGACACCACUGCCACCCUAUCUAUCUUAGGGCAACGUGAGUCGACUGCCAUUUGAUAUAGGUCAGAACUUUUCUGAAUACUUAGUGUCACCAUGUGAUCCAGACGAAUAAUUAAGAAAGUGUAUAAUUUUACAACCAUGGAUACGUGAGUCGAGGCGGACGUCAUCGCGAUAGUGACGGCGGACACCGAGAUGAGCACGUGACACCACUGCCACCCAUUCUUAGGGUAACGCGAGUCGAGGCGCACAUCGGCGCAUUAGCGACGACGGGCGCCGACACGAGCACGUGACACCAGGGCCACCCUGUCUAUCUUACGGUAACGCGAGUCAAGGCAGAUGUCGUUGUGGUAGCGACGAUGGACGCCGAGACGAGCACGUGACACCACUGUCACCCUGUCUAUCUUAGGGCAACACGAAUCGACACGGACGUCGUCGCGGUAGCGACGACGGACAUCGAGACGAGCAUGUGACACCCUGGCCACCCUGUCUAUUCAAAGUGCGUUAUAUCGACUAGAGGGGGGUGAAUAGGCGAUUUUUAUGAAUUCUUCACUGAGGAAUUUGCGGGUGAGGAAAUUCCUUAGCGAAGAACUACUUGCAGUGGAAUAAGUACUCAAGAGUAAGCAUAGCAGAGCAUAGGCAUGGUCAUCAUGAUGAAAUGAAGACAAACACAGAGUACAGAAAGCGUAAACACAGGAUAGCACAGGAUGAAGACAAAAGGACUGAAGAAAUUGAACUGAGGAAAUUGAGAAUGUCUUCUGUCAAAGUCUUCAAACAUAGAUAUGACAAGCACACAACACAGUAAUGAGGAAAUGAAAGAGUUGAGGAAAUAAAACCAGUAAGCUUGGUGAAGACAAUGAUUUGGUAGACCAGUUCCAACUGCUGUCUCAGUUGUACAUCUGGUUGGAGCGGCUAGGUAUUUAAACCUGAGGACACACAGUCCCGGACACACAGUCAUCACCGUAUUCUCCUUGAACUAAGGUCACACAUACCUCGUUCAAUCACUCGUGGUAAUUCUUCAGGUGACUUCCGAACCUUCACAAACUCGGUCACACGGCGAUCCACAAUUCCUCUUGGAUGCUCUAGACCAUGACGCCUAACCGUCUGGAAGAAGCACAGUCUUCAAAGGUAACAAGCGUCGGAUCCACUCAGGAUCAAUCUCUUCAGUGAUGCUCAAUCACUUUGGGUUUGUAGGUGUUUGGGUUUGGGUUUUCCUCACUUGAUGAUUUUCGCUCAAAGUCCUCGGAGGAUGGGAUGCUCUCAAAUGACAAAUGUCAGUUUCUCUCGGAGCAGCCAACCAGCUAGUGGUUGUACGGGGCGACUAUUUAUAGCCUAGGGAGCAGCCCGACAUGAUAAGACAUAAAUGCCCUUCAAUGAUAUGACCGUUAGGUGGGUAGAUAUUUUGGGACAGCUGGUGCAUAGCACAACAACGGUCGGAAAUUUGAGUAUCAAAUUCCUCAGGGCUGUCAUGUUCCUCACUGUGUAGGCAAUCCGCACUGGCGAAUUCCUAACUCCCCAGUCAGAACAAAUUCCUCAGAGACCAGAAGAACUUCGUCUCUGUCACUGAAGAAUAUGACUGAACUGUAUGAGAUUUCCAAUGGCUUCACUCGAAGGGAUUGGUAGGUGUAGGAUUUUGAGUUGAGCAUCACAUGGAAAUUUUUCCUUAGUAUUUCCUCGACCCCCUUUAACAGUACGGUGUUUCCUAUGACUCAAGAAAGAGAAAAUGAAACUACGAAUACAAAAGUCUUCACGCUUCAUAUUCCUCAAAUGAAUACCAAGUCUUCAAGGUCACACCAAUUUCUUCACUUUCAAAGUCUUCAGAAAGUCUUCAGAAAUUCAAAGUCUUCAGUCGAAGAACUUCAUUUUUAGGGGUUGACUUUCUCUGUAAAUAUCAAACUCCUCAUAGACUUAACCUGUGUACACUCAUAAACACAUUAGUCCCUUAACCUAUAAGUCUUCAAUACAUUAAAAUCACUAAGGGGCACUAGAUGCACUUACAAUCUCCCCCUUUUUGGUGAUUGAUGACAAUAUAGGUUAAAUUUUCAACGGGGAUAAACAUAUGAAGUGUAAAUACUGAUAUUUAGGAAUUUGAUUGCAAGAUAUAGAAGAACUCCCCCUGAAGAUGUGCAUAGUGAGGAAUUUGUUUUUGAAGCAAUGCACACUUGAAGAGUUGAAUCAUGGAGAUCUCCCCCUAUAUCUUGUAAUUCAUACACGCAUUUGACAUAAUAUAUGAAGAAUUUGAAAUGCAUGAUGAAAUAUGGUGACUGAUGUAAUUCAGCAUGCGUGCAAUAACAUUAACGAGGAAUAAGCAUGCAAAAGAAACAACAAAAGUAUCAGGCCACCAUAGAGUUUUAAGUUUACAACUCGAUAUAACAAAGUCAUCAGAAGAACGAGAGUUGUAACUUAGAAAAAAACGCCCAUAAAAGAUAGACCCGCUUGAAGACUAACUCAAAUUUCUCCCCCUUUGUCAUCGAAUGACCAAAAGGUUCGAAAAUGAGGACUAACGCCCCAGAAGAAUAUCAAGUUGAUGAAGGAGCGCCAGCGUUGUUGGGGUCAUUUGUUGAUGUAGGGCCUGCCGCAGUGUCGUCCAAGUCUUCAUGCUUAUCAGUUUCACGCGAUGAAGAAUAGGAGCUGGCCACCAAGGAAGGAACCUUGACCUUCUUGUAUUUCUUCGGUGGAGGUGCAGACCAGUCAAAGUCCUCCUUGAGACCCAUGUUCUUCAUAUCUUCUUCGCUGUAAAUGUGAGACAGAACAGCCCAGGUGCGACCGAAGACUUCAUGGAGGUAGUAAUGGUUUUUCUUCACUGCAUUAUGUGUAGCAGUCAUGUUGUGAAGAAUUGAACCAAACUGACGCUUAACCCAUUUAUGGUUUCGAUCCACCUUCUGGUGAAGACUUAGCAUAAGUUCACGGUCAGUCAUCACACGAGGAGCAGUAGCUUGAGGAUUUGGCUUGGAGGCAUGGGCAGCAGAAUCAUGAGUGGCAGAGUCAUCAUUGGUGGAAUAAGAUGCAGCCUUGGGAAAUUGACCAUCCAAUGGACGAAUGCCUUCAUCUAUAACAGCUGGUGCCUUGCCCUUUUCGUCAGCUGAGGAAUAGGUCCACUUGAGGACUUCAAUCGGGGGCAAGUAGCUGAGGUGAUUCUGAAAAUCAGCUUUGUAGUUGAGUGAAGACCUUGUUCUGAUGAAUCUCAUAAUCCACGGUGCAUAAGGCUUCAACUCAAACGGUGAAAGUGCAACAUUUGCCAGAGUCCUCAUGAAGAAAUCAUGAUAAUUGACAGGAAUGCCAUGAAUGAUGUUGAAAACCAGAUUCUUCAUGAUGCCAACAAUUUCCUCAUCAGAUGAGUCGUGGCCUUUGAUUGGACUCAUAGUCUUCGUCAGAAUGCGAUAGACUGUCCUUGGUACAUACUGCAAUUCCUUCACGAGGAAUUUUGUCCUUGAGGCUUGACCUGGUUUCCAUGGCUUCAUCAGCACUUGCAUAUAGUGAUCAGUAAGCUCAGGUUCUUGGUACAUGCAACAAGCUCCUUCAGGUGGAGAACUGAUGGGCAGGGCGUGAAGUAAUUCAGUGGCCGGUUCCUUAUAGUGAGUAUUUUCAGCCAUCCAGUCCAAAACCUAGGAGUUCACAUCGUCAGGAUCUCCCGUGAUGUGUAAAGUUGCGUAGAAUUGAAGAAUGAGUUCUUCAUUCCAAUCAACUAUGUCUGUGCAAAAGUUGAGGAGGCAUGUGUCAUGAAGCACACUGAGGACAGGAGUGAAGCAUGGCAGUGAUUCCAUGUCCACAUGAGGAAUAUGCUCGUGGUCGAAGACUUUUUCCUUGUUGAAGAGCAGUGAAGAAUAGAAGUUGGCCUAGCUGGCGGUCCAGAAGCGCUUCCUUCUAAGACGAGCAGAAUCAUAGGGAUUGUAGUCAGUGAAGAACACGUGCUCGCCAAAGAAAUCAUCAGCCUUGAAUUUCUGUGUCACAUCCCUAGUUCUGGUAUGACCUAGGCUAGCUAGUCAUGUGUGCAUCAUGUUUAAAUUCCAUUUAAAUUUGAAGUGGGGAUCUGUGAAACCCUCAGAAUCAUUUCUGGAAAUGACCCAGAUAAAAAUUGCUCCAAAAGGGUCCAAGAAAAUGUUCAUGUUGCUCUCUGAAAAUAUUGGACAGAGAUAAAAAUCAAACCAAUAUUUUUAGGAGAUCAUAAAUAUUUAUUUUGGGCAUUUGGAAUUAAUGCAGUAAUUAUUUGCUUUGGAUAUAUAUUGUUAUAUAUAUAUAUAAUAUUGUCCAAAAAUUAUGCCAUUUGUUGAGGAGUUAUGGAAUAAUACCACUAGCCCCUACAAAAAUUGGCAUAAGAAAAUAAAAUGAUUUAGUAUUCUACUAAAUCAGAACAAAUGUCAGAAAAAUAGAAAAGAAAACAAAAAGGGAAAAGCUUACCUGUGCUCACCCAAGGCCUGGCCUGGCCCAGCAGCCCAGCAGGCCGGCCCAGCCGACUGGCCAGUGCCAGUCAUCGUCCUCCUGGCGCCAGGAGGACGAUGGGCACGCGCUCGCUGCCCGCGCGCAUGCGCGCCACCUCCUGCUUCUCCCCCCUCAUCGCCCUGGACGCCUCCCGCAAUGCCACGCACACCCCUGACCCCUCUCACUCUCCCUGGACCCCUUUCCCCUCCUCUGCUCUCUGUUCCGCGCCGCCCGAGCGGAGCUCGUCGCCGCCGACGUCGUUCACCGUAGCCUCCACCUCCUCCUCAACCUCUCUCCACGCCCAGAAGCUCCGCCAUCGUCCCCCUCAUCUUCACGACCGAGCCACGCAAGCCCGGAGGCCCUGCAUCGCCGGCAACAUCACCAUCUUCCUCCUCCGCCGCCCUGGAUCGCCGACGUUGAUUAGUCGCCGUCCGGCCUCCCCCGAGCUCGCUGACGUCUCCAAACUACGUGGGGUGAGCCCCUCUUCGUUUCGCCCCUAUCCCCGUCGCCCCGCACGUCCUCUAGCACUAGCGCCGCCGUGCCCGAAGCUCGCCGCCGCCCUGCCAUGUCAUUGUCGUGGGCACAGCCGCCUCCGCCCGCUUUUGAGCUUACAGCCGUGCUAGUUGAGCUCGCAGGAGUCCGUAGCACUGCCCAGUGGUGGAAAUGGUGCACCGUAGAAUCGACCCGCACAACGCCGUGGCUCUGUCGCCGUUGAACCUCGCCGCCGGCGAGAUUCCGGCCUCCCGUGACCUCCCGUCUGGUCCAUCAUAUGCACGAGAGCAAGAGCUCAUGCCCGGUGCCUCCCGAGCGACAAACCGCAGCCCCUAGCAUGUUUCCGGCAAUCUUCCGCCGCGGUUUGAGGUCGCCGCCAGCCAAACUCCGGCGUGCCGACGUGGCACGGCCAUUAGUGGUUAAACCCCACUAAUUAGCCGCCCUACAGCCGCUGACAGCGGGCCCCACAGCAGGUCAAAGGUGAGUCAACGCGGGGUUAACCCCUGUCUCACUGACCAGUGGGCUCCGCCAGUCAGAUUUGACCCUGGCCAGCCCGUUGACCUGCUGACGCAGCGAUGACGUCAUGCUGAUGCAGUAAAGGAUUUUCUGGAUUUAAAUUAAAUCAGGAAAUUCCAGAAACUAGUAAAACUUCUAAAAUUCAUAGAAAUUCAACCGUAGCUCAGAUUGAAAUAAUUUAUAUAUGAAAAAUUAUCAGAAAAAUGCAAUCUAUCCAUCUGUACUAGUUUCAUGCAUGACAAACCAACUUAUACCUACUGUAUAAGUGAAAACAUAUAAAUGGAUUAUAUAAGGACUUAAAUUAGAGUCGCAUUUGAACCUUUGGUUCAAAUGGAUCUCUUCCAAGUUGAAUGCUAAAUGCAUUGGCUCAAAAUACAUCACAUAUACAUGCCAUAUUCAUGCAUCAUAUUGCUGCAUAUGAUUGUGUUUUUGACUGUCGACACCGUUCCCUCUCGAUAGGUCCUGCUCCGGAGAGUGUUCCAGAGUACCUGUCUGAGGAGCAGUGCCACCCUGUUGAUCUACUAGGCAAGCAAACCCCCUUUGUUCAUUCCGAUACAAUCCUACUCUCUCGCUCCUGCUCUCUUUUACUGCAUUAGGACAACAACGAUUCAACUGCUACUUUAUGCUGCGGUAGUUGAACCCAUUCCUCUGCAUGACCUGUCAUUGCCACAGUAAAUAGUUGAAACCCACUAGCAUGUGUAGGAGUUGAUUGAGCCAUGUUGUGUUCCUACCAUGCCAUGCCUACUAUUGCUUAGAGUUGUGUCAGGUCUGAUUCAUUGGGAAUGAAUUGGAGUGUUACGAUAUGUUCUGGUGCCGAGAGUUAAGCGUGUGAACACGAUUUGGUAAAGGUAGCGGUGAGAGGCCAUGUAGGAGUACAUGGUGGGUUGUCUCAUUGGAACCGUCCUUAAGCACUGAGUUCUGUGUAUGUUGUCCAAUGACUAGCUACUACCACACAUUGGGUUCCGGUAACUCGACCCCUCUCGACUUAUUAACCAACUUGAUCUCUGUCCAGGAGUUGCAACUAGUUUCUGGUGUUUGUAGGUAGUGCUAUUUUUCUACCGAGUGGCACCCGGCAGGGUGGGCUUGGGACAGACUAGGCACACGUGGCCCGGUGUACCCAGUGGCACCCGGAUGGUGGGCUCGGGAACCCUGUACACAUCGUUUGGGGCCGUGAGCGACACCCCGGCCGGAUCUCCUUGCGGAUGGAACCCGAAUAGGUGAUAAACCUGGACUAGAGUCUUGUGUGGUUAGUCAGGUCGUGGCCGACACCCUCGCCAGGCUUCCGCUUGAAGGUUGCCGAGGUACAUGACGUGUACAUGGCGGUAAGUGGCGAGAGCGUGUGUGACGCAGUACACCCCUGCAGGGUUAUCAUGAUCUAUUCGAAUAGCCGUGUCCUCGGUUAUGGACUUCUUGGAUGCUUACGUGGUACAUAGACAACCUGAAGUGGAUACUCUAAAAUGCUCAAGAUAAGUGUGAGUGCUAUGGAUGGCUUCUUGUAGUGAGACGGGAAUGAAUCCAUAGUGGUGUAUUGAGGUGGUGAUUAGUGGACUCGUGUGCGCCUUCUUACCUCAAAGAAGUCUCUCGUAGUCGUAGAACAGGAUAGCCACUGAGUCAAAGCUGGCUUGCUGCAACUAAACCCCACACUACCUUCUUGAUACAAAUGCAUGUAAGAUAGGAUCUGAAGUAAGUCUUGCUGAGUACCUUUGUACUCAUGUUGCUUUGUUAAUGUUUUUGCAGCGGAGACUUCAGUCUUACUAGUUGCUCCGCUUGGACUUCGACGAGUAGCUUGUACCUCAACUACGAUCUUGUACCCUUGGGAGGGUCUUGUAGAUAGUCAGGCUUCUCAGCCUUUUUCUUUUGUAGUUGUCUGUACUCACAAAUGUAAUGCUUCCGUUGCUUGUAUGCUCUGAAUGAUGGGUCAUGUGACCCCUGUUGUACUUAAUGCUAUGUGGCUCUUCUGGGCCUUUUAUCUAUAUGAGUUUGCGUUAUGUUGUGAUGCCAUGUUGUACAGCACAUACUUGCAUGUUAUGCGUACGUGUAACGUGUAUUGCUAUGUGUGGGAUCCGACAAUCUAGUUGUUUAUCCUUGGCAGCCUCUCUUAUGGGGAAAUGUAGUCUAGUGCCUCCUUGAGCCAUAGUAGUCCGCUACAGCCCGGUUCACCGGAGUCCUGCUAGCCCAGCACUACUGCUCUGGACACUUGACUGGCCGGCAUGUGUUUCAUUUCAUUCCUGUGUCUGUCCCUUCGGGGAAAUGUCACGCGGUGACAUCCGGAGUCCUGCCUAGCCUGCUACAGCCCGGGUUCCCGGAGUCCUGUUAGCCCAGUGCUACAGCCCGGAUUCACACGCUGCUGACCGACACGCUCGAUGUUGAUUCAUGUAUGCAUGUACCCAUACGUUAGUGCCGCUUUGGGUUCACGACUAGCCAUGUCGGCCCGGGUUCUCUGUCAUAUGGAUGCUAGCGACAUUGUCAUAUACGUGGGCCAAAAGGCGCAAACGGUCCCGGGCCAUGGUAAGGCGACACCCGUGGGAAUACCGUGCGUGAGUGUCGGGACCCCGAUUCCAAGUCACACCGAUCUAGCCUGUAACACCUCAUAUCACUUNNNNNNNNNNNNNNNNNNNNNNNNNNNNNNNNNNNNNNNNNNNNNNNNNNNNNNNNNNNNNNNNNNNNNNNNNNNNNNNNNNNNNNNNNNNNNNNNNNNNNNNNNNNNNNNNNNNNNNNNNNNNNNNNNNNNNNNNNNNNNNNNNNNNNNNNNNNNNNNNNNNNNNNNNNNNNNNNNNNNNNNNNNNNNNNNNNNNNNNNNNNNNNNNNNNNNNNNNNNNNNNNNNNNNNNNNNNNNNNNNNNNNNNNNNNNNNNNNNNNNNNNNNNNNNNNNNNNNNNNNNNNNNNNNNNNNNNNNNNNNNNNNNNNNNNNNNNNNNNNNNNNNNNNNNNNNNNNNNNNNNNNNNNNNNNNNNNNNNNNNNNNNNNNNNNNNNNNNNNNNNNNNNNNNNNNNNNNNNNNNNNNNNNNNNNNNNNNNNNNNNNNNNNNNNNNNNNNNNNNNNNNNNNNNNNNNNNNNNNNNNNNNNGCCUUACCAUGGCCCGGGACCGUUUGCGCCUUUUGGCUCACGUAUAUGACAGUGUCGCUAGCAUCCAUAUGACAGAGAACCCGGGCCGACAUGGCUAGUCGUGAACCCAAAGCGGCACUAACGUAUGGGGACAGGCAUACAUGAAUCAACAUCGAACGUGUCGGUCAGCAGCGUGCGAAUCCGGGCUGUAGCACUGGGCUAACAGGACUCCGGGAACCCGGGCUGUAGCAGGCUAGGCAGGACUCCGGAUGUCACCGCGUGACAUUUCCCUGAAGGGACAGACACAGGAACGAAGUGAAUCACAUGCCGGCCAGUCAAGUGUUCCGGAGCAGUAGUGCUGGGCUAGCAGGACUCCGGUGAACCGGGCUGUAGCGGACUAGUAUGGCUCAUGGAAGCACAAGACUACAUUUCCCCAUAAGAGAGGCUACCAAGGAUAAACAAGUAGGUUGUCGGAUCCCACACAUACCAAGCAUUUCAAUCAUACACACAAUAUGCUCGAUAUGUGCAAAUACAACAUGGCAUCACAACAUAACUCUACGACUCAAGUAUUUAUUCAUUAGGCUCCGAGGAGCGAGAUAUUACAAACAUGGGUCUCAUGACCCAACAUUCAGAGCAUAAAAGGCAAACACAUGCGGAAGCUUAACAUGUCUGAGUACAGACAUUUACAAAUGGAAAAGGCUGAGAAGCUUGACUAUUUACUAGAUCCUGCCGAGGGCACAAGAUCGUAGCUGAGGUAUCAAGCUAAACGUCGAAGUCCACAUGAGACUAAUAGCGAGACUGACGUCUCUCUGCAAAACAUAAAAUAAGCAAACGUGAGUACAAAUGUACCCAGCAAGACUUACAUCAGAACUAUCUACAUAUGCAUCGGUAUCAACAAAAGGGGUGGUGGAGUUUAACUGCAGCAAGCCAGCUUUGACUCGGUGGCUAUCCUAAACUACGACUGCAAGUAACUCUUUUGAGGUGGCGCACACGAGUCCACAUAUUCACCAUAUCAAUACACCACUAUGGAUCCGCUCCCGUCUCCCUACGAGAACGCCAUCCAUAGCACUCACGCUUAUCUUGCGCAUUUUAGAGUAUCCACUUUCACUUGUCUAUGAACUGUACAGGCAACCCAGAAGUCCAUUUCCGCGGACAGGGCUAUUCGAAUAGAUGAUGUUAACCCUGCAGGGGUGUACUUCGACACACACACUCUCACCACUUACCGCCGUUUACACGACAUGUACUCGGCAACCUUCAAGCGGAGGCCCAGCGAGGGUGUCGGCCAUAGCCUACCUAAACACUCAAGUCUCUAGUCCAGGUUUAUCGCCUAUUCAGGUUCCAUCCGCAGGGAGUCCGGCCGAGGUUUCCACAUACGGCCCCGAACGAUGUGUGCGGGGUUCCGAGACACCAAACGGGCGCCCGGCAUACCCGGCCACGUGCCUACCGCAUCACAGCCCACCCCUCCGGUCAGCGCUGCCCACGGCCUCCAGCAUACUACAAACACCAGAAACUACUUGCAACUCCUGGACAGAGGACAAGGGUGAUUAAGAAGCCGAGAGGGUCCAUUGGUAGUAACUGUAUCAUGGAUCACAAACACAGAACUCAGUUCCUGAGGACGGCUGCAAUGAGACAACCCACCAUGUACUCCUACAUGGCCUCUCACCGCUACCUUUACCAAAUCGUGUUCACACUCUUAGCUUACACACAGUAGGACAUGUUCAUCACCAUUCCAAUUCAUCCCCGACGAAUCAGACCUGACACAACUCUAAGCAAUAGCAGGCAUGACAAACAAGCAUGAAUGAGUAGGCACACCAGGGCUCAAACAACUCCUACUCAUGCUAGUGGGUUUCAUCUAUUUACUGUGGCAAUGACAGGUCAUGCAGAGGAUAAGGGGUUCAACUACCGCAACAAGUAACGGUUGAAUCGUUGUUGUCCUAAUGUAGUAAAAGAGAGCAGGAGCGAGAGAGUGGGAUUGUAUCGGAAUGAACAAGGGGGUUAUGCUUGCCUGACACUUCCGAAGAUAGUAUAGCUCUUCAUCGGUGUCAUCGAUCUCAUCGUCGGAAUCACGGCUAUUGAGAGGGGACAAUCACCGGCAAACAAGGAAGAACACAAUCAAUGCAAUGCACAAUAUGAUGCAUGAUCAUGACAUGGCAAUAUGACGUGAUUUGGCCUAAUGCAAUUAGCAACAGAAAGGUUUGGGUUGAUUUGAACUCAAGGUUCAAAUUCAAAUUCAAACUAUGAAUUCAAAUAGUGCAUUAUCAUGUUUUCACCUAUACAGCAGGUAUAACUUAGUUUGACAUGCAUGGAAAUGAUACAGAUGGAUAGAUUGCAUUUUUCUGAUCAUUUUUCAUAUAUUAAUUAUUUCAUUCUGAGCUACGGUUGAUUUUAUAUGAUUUUGAGAAGUUUAUACUAUUUUCUAGAAUUUCCUGAUUAAAAAUAAAUCCAGAAAAUGUAAUACUGCAUCAGCCUGACGUCAUCACUGCGUCAGCGAGUCAACGGGCUGGCCAGGGUCAAACCUGACCCGUGGGACCUGCCUGUCAGUCUCUCAGUGCCUAAUUAAGUUUAGGUUUUAAACUAAACUAACUUUUAACAGGGGCUGGCCCCACACGUCAGUGGGUCAGGGGGGAAGUCAAACCCCGGUCAAGCAGGGUCAAACCCGCCGGACUUGGUCCACGGCUCGUCGCCUGUGAAACCCGGGACGGCGGAGGGGCUCGGGAUUUGCCCACGGUCGACCAAAUCGACCGCGGUUUGGUCCUACGCGUAGCUGGGGCUCGCGCGCAUCUAGUAGGCCAAGCGGGAGGAGCUGGGGUGGUCUAAGUCGACGGCGGCGAGCACGAAUGCGGCGGCCGGAGUUCGGGCGUCGGUGGUUUUGCUGCUGUAGCGUGCUAGUGGGUGAAUGGAUGCACUAGCGAGACGCUACGAGGUGCGGUGAGUGUGUUAGGCACCGCGCGGGACCAAAUGGUCACCGGAGUGAUGCUGGCGUCGAGCUCGCGCGGCGGCGUGCUACGGUGAGCAAGGGGGCGGCGUCUACAAUGAGCAAACGGAGCAGAGAGGAGGGGGGUUCGACGCAGGGGCUCACAGUGAGUGCAGAGGUGGCCUCGGCGUGCUCGGGGAAGCACCGGAGCGAGCGGGGCGGCGAGAGGGAUCUCCGGCGUUGGGAGGUUGAAGACGACGACGUGGAGGCACUCGGGGGCGUCCGGCGUUGCACAGCUCGACGAGGAGGAAGAGGGAUACUAGGCGGAGCUCUUGGGCAUCUCAGGGCGUCGCCGGGAUGGCGGUGUCCGCGGUGGUGGCGAGCGGCGGCGACGGAGGCGUUCGGGCGGGAAGAACAGAGGAGGGGGAGAGCGUUCGGGGGAGAGGUCGAGGCGUCGAGGGGGUGUCGUGGCGCCGUCUAGGUGCAAUGGGGAGGAGCCAGGCAGGCUGGGAGGGAGGAGGUGGCCGCGGCGUGUAGCUGCGCGCGUCGGGCACGCGCCCUCGCCUACUGGCGCGAGGAAGGCGACAGGAGAGCGCCUGGUGGGCUGGGCCGCCAGCUGGGCCGGCCAGGUGGCUGUGGUGGGUGCCACGUAGGUAUCUCCUCUCUCUGCUUUCUGUUUUUCUAAUUUGUUUCUGUUUUCUAAUUAUUUGCCUCUGUUUUGGGCUUAGGAAAAAUACCAAGGCAUUUCCUAAAAUCCUGAAAAUAUUCAUGGACACUUGCUGAAUUAUUUCAGUGGCCCAAAAAUAGUUCCAACAUUAUUUGAACAUUUAAAUUAUUUAUAGCAUUUAAAUGCCCAAAAUUCAAAUACAAUAAGAUUUAAUUCAAAAAUCCAGGAUGGCCUAGAAAUAGGUGCAUCAUUUUUGGCAGAGGUUUUCACCUUUAACAAAAAUCAUGAACUUUUCUAAAGGGCAUUUGGGUUCAUUGAAAAUAUUGUUUACUUGAACCUAGUUGAAUGCAUUUGGUGCUAGGGUUUCAACAUCCCCAUUUCAAGUUUCUUUGAAAAUUAAACAUGAUGACAUGAGGAACAAGCAAAAGUCAAACAAGGGCUGAUCUGGGGCUGUGACAGUGAGGCCGCAAAGUGAUAUGAGGUGUUACAUGCUAGAUCGGUGUGACUUAGAAUCGGGGUCCCGACAUUCUGCUUCUUUGAGAAUGGAUCCUUUGGCUUGGGCUGAGGAGUGUCAGUCAAUUGCAUUAUCACCUCAGGAAUCGCAAUCUCAGGUUCUUCAGGCUGAGGAAUUUCAGCUUCUACUCCAGUGACAGCCUGGGUCUUCAAUUCUUCAUGUACAUUUUCUUCAGCACUAGUGGCUGGAAUUUCUUCAUGGAUAGAUGGGGUUGCACGAGGUUCUUCAGAUCCCAUUUGUACUUCAGUAGCAACAGGGGACUGAGGAAUUUGCUGUAAAGGUGUGAAGAGUGGAGAGUUGGGGUGCUGACUUUCCCAAAAGUCAUCAUUCAUCACUGGUGUGGUACAGCCAAUGUCCACGUCUUCAUCUUCUAUUUCUUCAAUGCCGGCCUCUUCAGCAGUAAACUGAGGCAUAGGCGAGGAAACAACUGGAGUUGAAGGGAUUUCAUCCACUUCAAUUUCUUCGUCCAUCUGCUCUGACGAAGCAGCAGAAGGAUUUUCUUCAUCAGAUCCGCUAGGGAUCAAAUAUUCUUCAUCAAAAGGAACAAGGUCCUUUGAUGGCAUGGUUGAGAUCGGAACAGCAUCAAUGGGGUUUGCAACUGAGCUGGUCAAUUUCUUCAUCUUCUUCGGAGCUGAAGAAUCUGAUGAAGCUGAUGCUUUCCUUUUCUUCACUGCUGCACGCUCUGCAGCCUUGGUCUUCUUCACAUCUGAUGCAGAUGGAAGAAUUGGAGUUGGGGUAGGCGCAGGAGGAGCAGAGGAAUGUGGUUGGUUUUCUUCAGGCACAACUGAUGCAGUUGCCCUGACCUCUUCAUUUUCUUCAGGCGCACCACUAGUGGAUGCCCUGGCAAUUUCAUCAGCGGCAGGAAUGCAGUCAUCAGCCCUAGACCUCACAUUUUCUUCAGCAUCCUGAAUGUCAUCAGCGGUGCUGGCAUGUUCUUCAGUUGGCUGAGCAGAUGCUUCAGUCUGAGGAAUUUCUUGUUGCGAUGGGGCUGCAACAUUGGAGGUGAACUUCUCAGUCAGUUUAACAAACCUGACCUUGGCUCCUUGCCAAUCAGCAAAGUAAGCAUUGAAAUCAUCGCUGAGGACUUUGAUUUCAGACUGGAUCUUCACAAGAUCAUCAGUUGUCAUAGAGACAACGUUGUUCUUCAGGAAUUUCUCCUUCCCGUACUGCGCUUUCUUGAUCUGCCUGGCCUUCUCAAAUUUCCAUUUCUCUUCUUGGAUGAAGGCAGUCAGCAUAUGAUUUUGGCCAGGAGUCAGCUUGAAGUCAGGCAUAGGAGUGUUUGGGUCCUUGUGCCAGAGAUCAAUGUAAUUGAGGACCAACUUUGGAUCCAAAAGCAGAGGCACAUUUGUGCCCUUGGCUCUAGCGGCCCUGACUUGCCUAUCUCUGAUGAUUUCAGCAAGUUCUUCAUCAUCAGCUUCGUCUUCUUCAGACGGCACUUGGAAGGCGACCUGCUUCUUGUGAGGACUUGGGCGAGAACCUCGUCCAGCAGUGGUCUUUGUCUUCAGCAGAGAGGGUCCUGUUGAAGAAUUUGGAGCAGCCGAGGAACUAGCUGAAGCUCCUGAGGCAAUAAAGAUCCCUGUAGUCCUUUGGCACGUGGCAAGAUGCACAGGUGCUGAGAAUUUGGUCGGAGCAGCUGAGGACUUAUGCGGAGGAGCUGAGGAUUUUGGAGGAGCAGGAGCAGCGUGAGGAAUUGGCCGUGAGGGCUUUGAGGAUUCUGGCCGUGAGGGCAUUGAAGGUGAAGCAAUUGGCUUACGCGCAGGCUUCUUUGCCAUGGAUUUCUUCGGUUUGACAGAGGCCUCAGCGGCAGCAGCAGCAGGAGAGUCUUCAUUGAAUUUCCUCACUGCUUCUCUGGCUUGUCUAGCCAGCUUGGCCUGGCGCUUGGCCCAUUCAUCAGGAUAAUCCUCACCACGCUUGAGGCUGGUGGGAUCAACUUCUUGGCCAGGUGCCAACGGAGGUCUUGGGCAUGGAGGAUUGAGUGCGAAUUUCUUCAUGUACUUGGGAGUCACAUACAUGUACUCCCUCCACUCUCUUGCCCAUCUCCUCUCUAUCUUCUGAAUGCGCACCUUGCGCUGAUUUUUAUCUUCCUCAGGGGGUGUGCAGUACCCAGCAUAGAUGUCCUCAGGGAUUUCAAAUGCAGUGUUGACCUCAGGCCUCUUUCCUCCUUUCUGUGGCUUCUUUCCAUCAACCAUUUUCUUCAGAUGAGGAAUUUGAACAAUUGAAUUCUCUGAAGAAGUAUGCAACUUUUCUUCGAGGAACGCUACAAAUGAGUUAAGUUGAUGAGAACCUAGAGAUUCAACAGCGGACAUGAGUACCUGUGAACAGAGUAUAGUUGCGAGGAAUUUGGAGAGGUCAUAUGCGUUCUCAAAAGGUUUUUCAAAAAGAACAAGUUUUAGGAAUUUGACCAGAUGAGUCUUGAAGAAUUUCACUAAGCGUUCUUUGUCUUAGGUUCCAGAGUUGCAUAGAUCGAAGAUCCACACAAUUGAGGAAUCUUGAAGAAAAAUUAUUGCUUAGAGAAAUGAAUCAAGAACAGAUGACAUGUGAGGUGUUUAGUGUGUGAAGAAUUUGAAGAAUAAACACCUUUGAAGAUUUUGUAGAAAUCAUUUGAAUCAAAGAGGGCAGUAAAAGUAACUUUUAAUUACCCUGGACAAAGAACACGACGAACUGUGAGGUAGAGAUGAGAAGUUCGUCUGUGCAGAUCUUCCACGCCCUAACUCGGCGGAGGAAGACGGCUACGGGCGGCGGCGGAGUGAAGAUUUCCGCGGUCGGCGCGAGUACGGCGGCGACGAGGUCGAGGCAGUGAAGCUCUUCCUCACCGGCGACGAUGAAGUAGCGGCGGUGCUAGGGUUUGAGAAGCUCGAGCUGGAGAGAGGUCGAGCGGAGUAAAGGAAGGGAGGAAGGGGAGAUGGGGUAUUUAUAGCCACGGUGAAAAACUGUUCGCCCGAAGAUUUUGGACGAACGUGCCCCUGACCCUUCUCAUUCGCUUGACAUGUGUCACCCACGUACUGAGAAGUGGAGAUCGUGUUAGAUCGUGGGUGAAUAGAUAAGUAUUUCAUGGGAUGCGGAACGGUUUGAGCGGCAAAGCCGAAAAUUUGGAUAAGAUAAGUUAAAAGUUCCGUUCGCAAAUUCUUCAGCUGACAAGGACACAGUGAAGAUUUUGAACGAGUUUCAAAUAGAACGCACAUGAAGAAUUUGUGAAUAGAUUGGGUUGAGUAUAGCAUAGAGGGCGAAGGGUCCGAUCACAUUCACUUAGCAGGAAAACCAACUUGAAGAGUUAGCCAUAAGUGAAUGUUGCAGAGUAUAUAUAUAUAUAUAUAGCCAAUGAAGAAAAACGACGGAAACAGUGAAGACAAUGCAAAGUUGAAGAAAAUGAACAACUGAGGAAAGACUUGAAUUGAAGAUUUUCAACUUUUGGUGGUGGCGUGACCCACCGUAUAAGAAUGAUGAUUUUAGACACCGCGUACAAUUGUCGUAGGGUUCUGAGAAUCAAAUUCUUCGUUAAUUUCUUCACACUUAGAGUGUUAUUCUUCAUUGAUUGAAGAAAAACGUUUCUUCAUGUGUUGCGCAUCUAAGUCAUCAAUUUUGCAUAAGUGUUAGGAUGAGUGUCCUUUUCAAAGAACAUUCGAAGAUUCUAAGAUAUUUAGCUCACACUGCAACUUGCUAAAUCUCUUCUCAUCCAAGGGCUUUGUGAAGAUAUCGGCUAGCUGUUCUUCAGUCUUCACAUGCUCAAUAGAAAUGUCACCCUUCAACACAUGAUCAAGAAGAAAAUGAUGACGAAUCUGAAUGUGCUUUGUCUUCGAGUGCUGAACUGGGUUGUGAGAAAUCUUGAUGGCACUCUCAUUGUCACAGUAGAGAGGCACAUUCUUCAUGUUGACGCCGUAGUCCUUGAGAGUUUGCUUCAUCCACAGCAAUUGAGCACAGCAAGAACCAGCAGCAAUGUACUCAGCUUCAGCAGUAGACAGUGAUACGCAGUUUUGUUUCUUUGAGGACCAACAGACCAAAGAUCGUCCGAGGAAAUGACAUGUACUAGAUGUUGUCUUGCGGUCCACACGAUCACCAGCAUAGUCAGAGCCAGAAUAUCCAAUGAGAUCAAAAGCCGAGCCCUUGGGGUACCAUAAUCCAUGUGUUGGUUUGUGAGCUAGAUAUUGAAGAAUAUGCUUCACAGCCUUAUGGUGUGAUUCCUUCGGUGUAGCUUGAAAUCGGGCACACAUGCAAACACUAAGCAUAAUAUCUGGCCUAGAUGCACAUAAAUACAAUAAAGAACCAAUCAUGGAGCGGUAUACCUUUUGAUCGAAGUCAAUACCAUUUUCAUCAGUGCACAGAUGGCCAUUUGUGGGCAUCAGAAUUUUGACGCCUUUGCAAUCUUGCAUGCCGAAUUUCCUCAGUACAUCCUUGAGGUAUUUCUCCUCAGAUAUGAAUAUGCCAUUGCGCUGUUGACGAAUUUGAAGACCUAAGAAGAAUUUUGAUUCUCCCAUCAUAGACAUUUGAUAUUCUUCACUCAUCAUAUAGGAAAAUUCAUCACUAUAAUGUUGGUCAGUACAGCCAAAGAUAAUAUCAUCAACAUAUAUUUGGCACACAUACAAUUCACCAUCAUAAGAUUUAGUGAAAAGAGUAGGGUCGAGUGAACCGGGUUUGAAGCCUUUCUUCAUGAGGAAUUCCUUCAAAGUAUCAUACCAUGCCCGAGGGGCCUGCUUGAGGCCAUAGAGGGCCUUAUUGAGUCUGAAGACUUUGUCAGGAUGCUUUGGAUCUUCAAAACCUGGGGGUUGAGCAACAUAUACUUCUUCCUCAAGCUUACCAUUAAGGAAUGCACUUUUCACAUCCAUUUGAUAUAAAGUGAUAUCAUGAUGGUUAGCAUAAGCAAGUAAUAUGCAAAUAGCUUCAAGUCUAGCAACAGGUGCAAAAGUUUCAUCGAAAUCAAUUCCUUCAACCUGUGUGUAGCCUUGAGCUACAAGCCGUGCCUUAUUCCUCACCACAAGGACAUUUUCAUCUUGCUUGUUGCGGUAGAUCCACUUUGUGCCAAUGAUAUUGUGCUUGCGAGGAUCUGGACGUUUAACCAGUUCCCAGACGUUGUUGAGCUCGAAUUGAUGUAAUUCUUCUUGCAUGGCCUGAAUCCACUCAGGCUCCAGAAAUGCUUCAUCUACCUUAGUGGGCUCUGUGAUAGAGACAAAAGCAUAGUGCCCACAAAAGUUAGAUAAAUGUGAAGCUUUUGAGCGUGUGAGAGGACCUGGUGUGUCAUCGAUGAUCUUUUCAACUUGCACUUCUUUUGCAACACGAGGAUGAGCUGGUUGUCGUCGAGGAAUUUGAUAAGCAUUUUCUUCAGCACCAUUUUCUUCAGCAUUUUCUUCAGGUGCAUUAGCUCGACGUUCUUCACGUUCUGGAAUGAAUUCUUCAGCAGAUUCUUCGGUAGGAAUGACCUCUGUAGCCUUGAACUUGAUAGUUUCCUCAGGUGCUGGUUCAUCUAUCACAGAGGGUAGGUGCUCUCUUUGCGAGCCAUUAGUUUCAUCGAACCGCACAUCUACAGUUUCAACAACCUUGUGAAGAACGUUGUUGAAGACUCUGUAGGUGUGCGAGUCCUUUCCGUAACCAAGCAUAAAACCUUCAUGUGCUUUUGGUGCAAAUUUAGCAUUGUGAUGAGGAUCUCUAAUCCAACAUUUAGCACUGAAGACUUUGAAAUAACUCACAUUGGGUUUCUUGUCAGUGAGGAGUUCAUAGGCAGUCUUCUUGAAGAAUUUGUGAAGAUAUACCCUGUUGAUGAUGUGGCACGCAGUAUAAAUUGCCUCAAUCCAGAAGUGACGAGGCGUCUUGGACUCAUCAAGCAUAGUGCGAGCCAUCUCAAUAAGAGUUCUGUUCUUGCGCUCCACGACGCCAUUCUGCUGAGGAGUGUAAGGAGCAGAUAACUCAUGAGUAAUACCAAGUUCAUCAAGAUAGUCAUCAAGACCAGAAUUCUUGAACUCAGUUCCAUUGUCACUUCUGAUGUGCUUGAUUUUCACACCGAAGUUGGUUGAAGCCCUCGAGGAAAAUCGUUUGAAGACUUCCUGCACUUCAUGUUUGUAAGUGACAAUAUGUACCCAAGUGUAACGAGAGUGAUCAUCAACAAUAACAAAGCCAUAGAGAGAUGCAUCAUUUGUGACUGCUGAGUAAUGGUUAGGACCGAAGAGAUCCAUAUGAAGCAAUUCAAAUGGUCGAGUAGUGGUGAUGAUAGUCUUUGCUGGAUGCUUAGCCUUGGUCAUCUUUCCAGCUUCACAGGCUCCGCAUAAGUGAUCCUUGAGGAAUUUGACAUUCUCAAUGCCAAUGGCAUGCUUCUUCUUUGCAAGCGUGUGCAAAUUCCUCAUGUCUGCAUGACCAAGUCGUCGAUGCCAUAGCCAGCCUUCUGAAGCUUUUGCAAGUAGGCACACGGCUGGUUGCGGUCCUAUAGAUAAAUCAACAAUAUACAAGUCUCCUCUCCUAAAGCCUUCGAAGACUUUGGAAUUGUCAGCUUCCAUAACCACAACACAACGAUACUUGUCAAAGACAACAACCAUAUCAAGAUCACAAAGCAUUGAGACAUACAUGAGGUUGUAUCCUAAGGACUCGACAAGCAUGACUUUGUCCAUGUGUCGAUCCUUUGUGAUCGCAACCUUACCUAGACCCAAUACCUGACUUUUGCCUUUGUCAGCGAAGAUGAUAUGCUUCAGAUGCGAUGGUGAUAAGGGAGCAUCCAUCAAUAGAUUCUUGUCACCAGUCAUGUGAUUUGUACAUCCACUAUCGAGGACCCACUCAGUGGCUUUGGGUUGAUCAUCCUGUAGAUGAAUUAGUGCAGCUUACGAACUUCAUAUACUUCAUCAGUGAAGAAUAUGACAUCACAAUUCAUCAGGCCAAUUUCAUCAAGCAAUGCAACAGUUAAAACAGUAUGAGGACGUGAGAAAUGAAAGUUCAUUUCUUCAUGAUUAGCCUGCGUCCUUUCAGGCACUUUUCACGUCUCCAACAAAUUCUUCAGACGUUUGAGCACGUCUGGAGACCUGACCCUGCAUAAGAGAUUAGUCCUUUUUCUUCACCACCCACAUCUGAAGGGGUGGCAAAGAGUUCAUCACUCUGCGAGCUCCAUACGAGAAAGGUGGCAUAGAAGCCAAUCCAUUUCGUUUCACAUAAGAGGAGUUAGGGUAAGCAUAUGAAUAAGCAGAGAAAUUCUUCGAGGACUUAUGAACAUAAUGAUUAGAAGAAUAAUGCUCAUAUUCAUAGCCCUUAGCUCUUCCCUGCGAAACAGAGUUGUUAGCACGAUGAUGUUCAUAUGAGGACUUUGAUCCUUUUGAGGAAUAUGAUCCACGUGAGGAAUUCGAUCCGUAUGAGGACUUGGAUCCAAAUGAAGAAUUUGGUCCACAUGAAGAAUUUGAUCUGGGGUUCCUAUUCUUCACAGGUGGUGUCAUGAGGACAUUCACCUGAAGACUUUCAAGGCACCUUUUGGGAACCCAGAUUUUCUUCAUAGGAGAACCGUUCCUACAGUUAGUGCCAACAUAUCUAGCAAAUACUUCACCAUUCUGAUUUUUAAACAGUUUAUAGUUGGAGUCAAAUGACUCAUCAGAAGAAUGAGAAGAUUCACAUGUAAAGCCAGAUAAAUUAGAUGGAUCAACUGGAGGUCCCUUUGCAGCAACCCAUGAGGUUUUGGGGUACUGCUCAGGCUUCCAAUAUGUACCAUCAGCAUUGAGUUUCCUCUCAAAGGCAAUACCCUCUUUCCUAGGGUUCCUGUUGAGGAUCUGCUUUUUAAGCACAUCACAAAGAGUCUGAUGCCCUUUGAGGCUUUUGUACAUGCCUGUCAUGUACAAUUCCUUCAGCCCUGCAUCAUCAGUGAUACUAGCAAUGUCCUCAGAUGAGGAAUUAGUGAUAGCAGAGACAGUUGAAGAAUUUGUAGCAUUAGAAGCAUUUGAACAUUCAGGUGAAGAUUUAGCAGAUUCACGUUCAAUGCAUUUCAAACAUGGAGGAACAAAUUCUUCCUGAGCAGCGCUGAUUUGUUGAGCAAGUAAUGAAUCGCGCUCCUUCUGAAGAUCUUCAUAACUCACUCUUAGCUUCUCAAGAUCUUGCUUUCUUUGAAGAAAUUCAUAAGAAAGCUUCUCAUGAUCAGAUAAGAGAGUGUUAUGAUGACCUUGAAGGUUGUCAAAUCUAGACUGAAAUCUCUGAAGAUUUUCAGUCAAGGUUUUAGUGCGAUCCAUUUCUUCACCCAACAUAUCAUCACUUUUUAUCUAGCAUGUUUUGAAACUUUUCCAAGGCCUUUUGUUGUUUAGUGGCAAUACAAACAAGCUUGGUAUAGCUAGGUCCAAAAUCAUCAUCGGAUUCAUCAUCACUAGACUCGGAUGAGGAACAUUCGGUUACCUUGGCACCUUUUGCCAUGAGGCAUGGUGGAGAAGAUGAUAGUUCAGGUUCGAAAGUCAUCGUUUUGAGUGAUUCCUUGAAAUCCUCAAACCAGGGAUCAUGACAAGUUCGAUGACCUUCAUAGACGUCAGAGAUUCGGUCCCAGAUAAGCUUCACAUUGCAAAGAUGCAUAAUGCGCCUGAAUUCAUCUCUGGAUAGGCAGGAACAGAUGAUAUCCUUCGCCAUGAUGUCAAGUCGAGUGUACUUGCGAAUAUCAUCAGUGUCCGCCAUCUUGCAUAGAUCGGUAAGACCAAUCUCAGUGACGGUCCACAGCUCGCUGUUCAGUGCCAUGAGGCGCUUGCUCAUCAUGGCCUUCCACUUGGGAUAAUCAUGACCGUCAAAGAUGGGGCAUGUCACUUUCUUCAUACCUGCGGUCGACAUAACUAAAACUCCAGGCGGUUAAACCAAAAUCACACAGAACAAGGGAGUACCUUGCUAUGAUACCAAUUGAAAGUGCAUUAUAUCGAGUAGAGGGGGGGUGAAUAGGUGAUUUUUAUGAAUUCUUCACUGAGGAAUUUGCGGGUGAGGAAUUCCUUAGCGAAGAACUACUUGCAGCGGAAUAAGUACUCAAGAGUAAGCAUAGCAGAACAUAGGCAUGGUCAUCAUGAUGAAAUGAAGACAAACACAGAGUACAGAAAGCGUAAACACAGGAUAGCACAGGAUGAAGACAAACAGACUGAAGAAAUUGAACUGAGGAAAUUGAGAAAGUCUUCUGUCAAAGUCUUCAAACACAGAUAUGACAAGCACACAACACAGUAAUGAGGAAAUGAAAGAGUUGAGGAAAUAGAACCAGUAAGCUUGGUGAAGACAAUGAUUUGGUAGACCAGUUCCAACUACUGUCUCAGCUGUACAUCUGGUUGGAGCGGCUAGGUAUUUAAACCUGAGGACACACAGUCCCGGACACACAGUCCUCACUGUAUUCUCCUUGAACUAAGGUCACACAGACCUUGUCCAAUCACUCGUGGUAAGUCUUCAGGUGACUUCCGAACCUUCACAAACUCGGUCACUCGGCGAUCCACAAUUCCUCUUGGAUGCUCUAGACCAUGACGCCUAACCGUCUGGAAGAAGCACAGUCUUCAAAGAUAACAAGCGUCGGAUCCACGCAGGAUCAAUUUCUUCAGUGAUGCUCAAUCACUUUGGGUUUGUAGGUGUUUGGGUUUGGGUUUUCCUCACUUGAUGAUUUUCGCUCAAAGUCCUCGGAGGAUGGGAUGCUCUCAAAUGACAAAUGUCAGUUUCUCUCGGAGCAGCCAACCAGCUAGUGGUUGUACGGGGCGACUAUUUAUAGCCUAGGGAGCAGCCCGACAUGAUAAGACAUAAAUGCCCUUCAAUGAUAUGACCGUUAGGUGGGUAGAUAUUUUGGGACAGCUGGCGCAUAGCACAGCAAUGGUAGGAAAUUUCAGUAUCAAAUUCCUCAGGGCUAUCAUGUUCCUCACUGUGUAGGCAAUCCGCACUGGCGAAUUCCUAACUCCUCAGUCAGAACAAAUUCCUCAGAGACCAGAAGAACUUCGUCUCUGUAACUGAAGAAUAUGACUGAACUGUAUGAGAUUUCCAAUGGCUUCACUCGAAGGGAUUGGUAGGUGUAGGAUUUUGAGUUGAGCAUCAUAUGGAAAUUUUUCCUUAGUAUUUCCUCGACCCCCUUUAACAGUACGGUGUUUCCAAUGACUCAAGAAAGAGAAAAUGAAACUACGAAAACAAAAGUCUGCACGGUUCAUAUUCCUCAAAUGAAUACCAAGUCUUCAAGGUCACACCAAUUUCUUCACUUUCAAAGUCUUCAGAAAGUCUUCAGAAAUCCAUAGUCUCUAGUCGAAGAACUUCAUUUUUAGGGGUCGACUUUCUCUGUAAAUAUCAAACUCCUCAUAGACUUAUAGACCUGUGUACACUCAUAAACACAUUAAUCCCUUAACCUAUAAGUCUUCAAUACACCAAAAUCACUAAGGGGCACUAGAUGCACUUACAUCUAUCUUAGGGUAACGAGAGUCGAGGCGAACGUUGUCGCGAUAGCGACUACGGAAGCCCAGACGAGCACGCGACACCACUGCCACCCUGUCUUAGGGUAAUGCAAGUCGAGGCGGACGUCGUCGCAUUAGCGAUGCCGGGACACCGAGAUGAGCACGUGGCACCAAGGCCACCCUGUCUAUCUUACGGUAACGCGAGUCGAGGCGGACGUCGUCGUGGUAGCGACGACGGACGCCGCGACUAGCAUGUGACACCACUGCCACCCUUUCUAUCUGAGGGAAACGCGAGUCGACGUGGACGUCGUCGCGGUAGUGACAACGGACGCCGAGACGAGCACGUGACACCAUUGCCACCCUGUCUAUCUUAGGGUAACACUAGUCGAGGGGACGUCGCCGCGGUAGCGGCGACGGACGCCGAGACGAGCACGUGAUACCACUACCACCCUGUCUGUCUUAGGGUAAUGCGAGUCAAGGGGGACGUCGUUGCGGUAGCUACGACAGACGCCAAGACGAGCACGUGACACCACUGUCACCCUGUGUAUCUUAGGGUAACGCGGGUCGAGGCGGACAUCGUCGUGGUAGCGACGACGCAUGUCAAGACGAGCACGUGACACCAGUUCCACCCUGUCUUAGGGUAACGCAAGAGUCGAGGUGGAUGUCGUCGCGCUAGCGACGACGGACGCCGAGACGAGGACAUGAUGCCAGGACCACCCUGUCUAUAUUAGGGUAACGCGAGUCGAGGCAGACAUCGUCGCGGCAGUGACGACAGACGACGAGACGAGCACGUGACACCACAGCCAUCCUGUCUAUCUUAAGGUAACGCGAGUCGAGGCGGACGUCGUCGCGGUAGCGACGACGGACGCCGAGACCAGCACGUGACCCCACUACCAACAUGUCUAUAUUAGGGCAACGCGACUCGACACGGACGUCGUCUCGGUAGCGACGACGGACGCCGAGGCAAGCACGUGACACCACUGCCACCCUGCCUAUCUUAGGGUAACGCGAGUCGUGGCGGAUGUCGUCGUGGUAGCGACGACGGACACCGAGACUAGCACGUGACACCACUGCCACCCUGUCUUAGGGUAACGCGAGUCGAUGCGGAUGUCGUCGCGGUAGCAACGAUGGACGCCUAGACGAGCAUGUGACACCACUGCCACCCUCUCUUAGGGUAACGCGAGUAGAGGCGGAGGUCGUCGCGGAAGCAGCGACGGACGCGGAGGCGAGAACGUGACACCACUGCCACCCUGUCUUAGCGGAACGCGAGUCGAGGCGAACGUCGUCGCGAUAGCGACGACAGACGCCAAGACGAGCACGUGACACCACUGCCACCCUGUCUUAGGGUAACACGAGUCGAGGCGGACGUCGUCGCGUUAGCAACGAAGGACGCCGUGACGAGCACGUGACACCAGGGCCACCCUGUCUAUCUUAGGGUAACGGGAGUCGAUGCAGAAGUCGUCGCCGUAGCGAUGACGGACGCUGAGACGAGCACGUGACACCACUACCACCCUAUCUAUCAUCGGGUAACGCGAGUCGAGGCAAACGUCGUCGCGGUAGCGACGACAGACGCCAAGACGAGCACUUGACACCCUGGCCACCCUGUCUAUCUUAGUGUAACGCGAGUCGAGGCGAACGUCAUCGCAGUAGCGAGGACGGACGCCGAGACGAGCACGUGACACUACUGCCACCCUCUCUUAAAAGUCGAGGCGGACGUCGUCUAGCUUGUCACGUCAAAUUGACACAAAAAAUGUUCAUUUAAAAAAAAAUAUCAGAUAUUUCGGAAAAUGUUCUUGUUUUUAAGGAAAUUUCAGGAAUUCAAAAGUUGUUUAGUUCUAUAAAUAUGUUCUUGAUUUGAAUUUUUCUCAUUAAUUUUAAAAUAUGUUCAUAGUAGAUCAAUUUAAUGAACAUUUCGAUUCAACCAAAAAGAUGUAGAUCAAUUUAAUUCAGCAUGUUAAUUUUUGUUUAAUAAAAUUAUGUUCAUGGAAAGUAUUAAUCGAAAGGGAAUAGAGGAAUAGGCGAAUUUAUUUUUUUUCUGUGUAAAAGUAGCUAUUCAUUUUAGUUGAAAGUGCUAGUUCAUUUCAAUUAAAAGUGGGAUUUCCGGCCCAUUAGUGUCCGUGAAAAACUGCUGGCCCAGAAAGGGAAUAGGAAAACACAGGCCCAAAAGGAAAAAACGUGGAAAGGGAAUAGAGGCUAGGUGAGGUAUUGGGCCAAGGCUGGGCCGAACUCACAAAAAGUGGAGCUCUCAAGGCCGGAAUUGAUCACGAAAGGGAAUAGAAUGGGCGCAACCGUUCGCUAACUUUGUCGUUUGUUGUCGCAUCGAUCUGGUGCGAAAUGAGAGCUCCUAUGUGUCGCAUUUUACGGCAAAUUGCCACCAUAUCGCACAGGGGCGCCACCGAGUGGGCCGGCCCAUUAGCAGCACUGCAGCGAGCCAAUAAACGCACUGUAGCUAAAAACUGAGCGGCAUCGACCUCGCGACCUCUGGCUAUUGAAUGACUCUCGCUAGCCACUUGAGCUGAUGGCCCGUUGGUUAUUGUUAUACACCGCGAAAUACUAAAAGCACUACUCGGAGGAGCUGAUCAAACUUGUACUGUAGCGACCGGACUGUGUACUGUUACGACAUGAACAAGGCAAGGUAGAGUUUUUUUUAGAAGCUCCAAAUCUUUCUUUGAAAAACGUGAACAUUUUUUCAAAACACAAAUAAAACUUCAAAUUUCAAACAUUUUUCAAAACAGAUAAAAAAAGUAGAAACCACAAAAGUAUUUUGAAUUUGUGAACAUUUCUCCGAGAAAGGGAACAUUUUUUAAAUUCCGAACAAAUUUUGAAAGCCUGAACAUUAUUUGAAACUCCCCGAACAAUUUUUGAAUUUGUGAACAAAUUUUGAAAACGAGAACAUUUUUUGAAAUUGUGAACAAAAUUUUGAAACCACAAACAUUUUUUGAAAUUGGAAGCAAUUUUAGAAUUUGUGACUUUUUUUCAAAAUGAGAACUUUUUUGAAAUUCUGAAUUAUAUUUCAAAUUUUCAAAAAAGUUUCAAUAGAAAAAUAAACUUAAAAAAGAAAAAGAGAAAAAUGAAAAAGAAAACAAAACAAUAUUCAAAAAUUCAUGAACGUUGUUUUGAAAAUAUUUAGAAAAGAAGCGAACAAUUUUUGAAAUUUCUGAACAAAAUUUGAAAACAGGAACAUUUAAAAAAAAUAAGGAUCAUGUUUUGAAAUUCCCAAACAAUUUUGAAAUGCAAACAUUUUUUGAAUGUAGAAACAAAAUUUGAAAACAGGAACAUUUUCCAAAAUUUGAACUUUGUUUAGGAACCUGAAUAUUUCUAGAAAAAGAAAAAUGAAAUUGAAUAAAAAGGAAACGGAAAAAGAAAAAAAGAAAAAGAAAAACCUGACCACAAAGAAAUAGAAAAACGAAAAGAAAAGAAAAAACCGUAGAAAAGAAAAAAACCCGGUUCAGGAAACCUUCUGGAAGGUUCCCAAAGACGGAUUGGGUAGUGCCAAUACGAUCUACUCAAAUGGGCCGGCCCCGUCGUGUCGAUCGGCCGAUCGCCUGUGCGUUGCCCCGGCAACUUGCCGCAACGAGCGACAAACAGGAAAUUCCGUGCGAAAAAUCGAGUGCGCCUCUUAGGACGCGCGCUAGCGACGCCGCAUUGGAGUUCUCUCUAUACGUAUACUUGCUAGCGUUGAUCAAGCACGGAAAUAAGCGAGCUCACUUCUCUCUAUUAGCUAGCUAACACAAUAUAUGAAACCCCCUCUCCCUUCUUUCAAAACAAAAACAAAACCCCUGCUCCUGCCAGCUGCUGACGCGUGGAUGCCUUUUGGUACCGGUUGGUGUUACCAACCGGGACAAAAGGUGCUCCAGCCUAGGCACCUCGCAGCGGCCACGUGGAGCCCCUUGCGAAUCGGGACUAAAGGUUUUGGGCUUUAGUCCCAACCCUUUAGUCCCGGUUCCAGAACCGGGGUAAGGGGCCUCUGAAACCGGGACAAAUGGGCCGGUUUCUAUGAGUCGAAGCUCCAUCCUCCUUUCUAGUCCUCUGUUCCUUUUGUCAUAUCAGCUUUCAUCCAUCUCCCAUACUGUUGCACCUCACCUCUCCCAAGUCCAAUAGAACACGCCUUGUCCACGUGUCCAAUUAUACCACACGUGUAACAAAAAUCAGGGAGGUACUCAUACUCUAGGGGGCACCAUUUUUGCUCAUCAUCUUUCUUCUUUCUUUUAUCCACGUCCAUCACUUCUGCAGACUCCUUGUCUUCUCCCGUUCAAUAUCCAAAGUGAUUCCUCUCAACAGUGGCUUUGUAAUGUCUAGUCUAACUUUCAGAACUUCCAGCCACAUUAUCAUCAUCCCCCUGGUUACCUCCAUGAACUCGCCAGUCUCGUCACCAAUGAUACCUCCGUUUUCAUCACUCAUGAAACCGAGCGGCAUCUUGGUCACCCUGACCCAAAUAAGGAUGAUAGUGAACUCAUACUCUCCUAGCGUUUUAGCUGGGUCGAAAUCUACCAUCACAAUCAGGUCCUUUCCCACCAUCCAUGGCCCUUCCUCCAAUGCUUUCCUCUUCCCCGCUGCUUGCAAGAAGGUGAAAAGAAAGGUGUUGUCCUCUAACCCCUUGCACUUGAUUCCCUUGAUCGGACACCACACUCUUCCGAGGUAUUUGAUCAUACCUUCCACAUAUACUGGUUUCUCGGACAUAACCUUACCGAUCGCCUGUGGAUCUUCCGUUCCCGUUCUCCUCAACCCGCCUCUUCCGAUCUUGACUCCCUUCUUCUCUGCUUCUGGCAACCGCAACUUCUGCAUCAAACCUUCCACUUUCUCCAUUGUGUCGAGGACUUGCAUCGAUCUAUGGUUUACUAGGUGGUUGUAUUAUGAAUGAAUGCCCUAGCAACACUCGUAAGGCUUUUGGUGGAUGGGUGAGCGGUCUCGAGAUCAAUCCAGCAAGGAUCGCCAAGGCUAGGGGGAGAGUUUGCUGGCGUAGGCCAGAGACGGGGUCGCCUGAGGGGACUCUAGGGUUUACCAGGAGUCACCGCAGAAUCCCCUGGGAAUCGCCCAAGCGCCAAUCGUGGAACCGUCACCCAAGGACGGACGGGUUAAGGAUGAUAAUUAAAGCGGACUUUGAUAGAGAGACACGUGAGAAAUAGAGUGAUAGAGAGAGAUACGUGAAAAUUAAAGCGGUUUUAAUUUCUUUCUUUUCUGUAAUUAAAGAGAUACGCAUGAGAAAUAGAGAGAUAAGAGAGAUACGUGAGAAUUAAAGCUGUUUUAAUUUUUUCCGUUUCUAUAAUUAAAGAUCUGAUCUACACAGUUAUAAUCUUGACCCGCAAAAUCAACGGCCUCCAUUUUCUAUUUUUCUCUAAUUAAUGUGGGAAUUUCUUGGGAGUGCCUAUUAGUAUAGGUAUAUAUAUGUGCAAAAAAUCUCGACAUUAAUGAACAUAUAUCUGGUGCACUUGCAAUCUUUUGUAGUACAUUAAUGAAUAUUUAAAGUAUUUUCCAACUCUUGCUAUUUAUAGACUUGUCAUCCGUGUCUGCCACAUUUGGAGUCCAACUAUUUCCUACUGGAACCUUACACUCCACUAGAACUGAGUUUGUCAAGUAACAGAUAACCAAUAUGAGAGGGAGCAGCCUAGUGCAGGGGACGAUGAUAUUCUUCAUUGGAUGCCUUGUGCUUUGUGCACAGUGUAAGUAUAUAUCAUCAUCGUCUUUAGAAUCUUGUGUUAACUUCUUGCCACUAAUUCUUCGGAUCAGACAUACAUACACACACACAUCUGCGGUACUGCAUACUAAGGUUAAAUAUACUAUACAGGUGCUCUCGAUAAUAAGCAAAGGAUGGUCAACCAAGAUGAUCAUGCGGCGAACACAAGUACCAACGCUACCAUCAUCAACUCAACAUCUGUAGGCGAGAGCAAGAAAACCGAGAAAUUUUGCAGCCUCUUUCUCGUAUGUUAUUUCAACAUUGAGAUUCGUGCUGAGUGCUACUGUUGCGAGAAUAAGAAUGCCGACUGUUACAAGACGAAGAGUGAGUGCCUGCAGAAGUGCCAUUCCUACAACGGUUAAUGCCCACCUUCAUCGCGGUCUCUGGGAUAGAAUUCCAUAUGCUCGGAAAAUUUGUCCGUAGGUAAUAAAAGGCACCUUAUAUGGUUUGGGCAAUUAGGUCCCAAUUAAACAUUAGAUAGCCGGCAUGUUUCCGUGGAGAUCCAACAAGGAAAAAUUUGAUGAAAGAAAUCCGAGUAACUAGUUGUCUUGCAUAUUUACAAAGUUCAAAUCCUUUGGUUGUUGUGCUUUGACUCGAUUGUCUAUUAUGC